ACGAACGCUGGCGGCGUGCUUAACACAUGCAAGUCGAACGGAAAGGCCCCUUUGGGGGUACUCGAGUGGCGAACGGGUGAGUAACACGUGAGUAACCUGCCCUUGACUUCGGGAUAACUUCAGGAAACUGGGGCUAAUACCGGAUAGGAAUCCUUGCUGCAUGGUGGGGGUUGGAAAGCUUCGGCGGUUUUGGAUGGACUCGCGGCUUAUCAGCUUGUUGGUGGGGUAGUGGCUUACCAAGGCUUUGACGGGUAGCCGGCCUGAGAGGGCGACCGGCCACAUUGGGAUUGAGAUACGGCCCAGACUCCUACGGGAGGCAGCAGUGGGGAAUAUUGCACAAUGGGCGGAAGCCUGAUGCAGCAACGCCGCGUGCGGGAGGACGGCCUUCGGGUUGUAAACCGCUUUCAGCAGGGGCGAAGCUUGUGGUGACGGUACCUGCAGAAGAAGCACCGGCUAACUACGUG
rnacentral:rRNA from 1 species